rnacentral:lncRNA from 1 species
UCGCUGUCACGGUCAUCGCGGUCCUAGCCUUUUAGAGAAGAAGAUCGGCAAAGAGGUUCAUUUCAUUUUCCUCGACUCUCCGACGCCGACCCCGACCCCAACUCCAAAUCGUCUCUUCGAUCUCGGACCUCAAGGUAAGGCUCUCUCUUUCUUUCUGCGCUACCACUCAUAUGUUUAAAGAUUUUUGUGAUUCUAAUAUUACAGAGAGAUUUUAGAGAUUUCAGUUAUAUUGCUCUUUGAGUUUUGACUGAUAGUUUAGUUUCUGUAAGAUUCCGUUACUAUUUUAAUGAAUUCACUGGUGACUAUUUAACUUAUAUAUUUUUUGUAUUGUCUUUUGUUCUUCUGUAUAAGAUCCAUAUCUCUUGUUUGGGAGUCUGCAGGAUCUUGUGGACUUGCUGGAAUUGAAUGUGCCUCUCAUAUAUAAUGUAUGUUUAUGUUUUGAUUUUUAUUUAAAUCAUAUGAAUUCUUAAGUGCAUUGACAAGUAAAAUUAAUUGAUUGGUUUGUGUAGCAAUAGUCUAACUUGUGGAUUGGAUUUGAAUAUGAAUAUAUGCUUAUCAGAAUAGCUAGAGCUUGCAAGUUGGAACCACAUUAUUAAUUAUGUGGAUAUAAUUUUAAUUUUUCACCGCCCUUUCAGUAUGUAUAUCUUUUGCUUUGUUGGGAAAUCUGAUUAUAUUUAUAUUUUCCUUUUAGAUACAUAGACAGCUGGGGAGUGGCUGGACCAAGAUUCCAUAG